rnacentral:rRNA from 1 species
GUGGGGAAUCUUCCGCAAUGGACGAAAGUCUGACGGAGCAACGCCGCGUGAGUGAAGAAGGUUUUCGGAUCGUAAAGCUCUUUCGUUAGGGACGAACGGCCGGUGGAGUGGAAAGCCACCGGAUUGACGGUACCUGAGAAGGAAGCCACGGCUAACUACGUGCCAGCAGCCGCGGUAAUACGUAGGUGGCAAGCGUUGUCCGGAAUUAUUGGGCGUAAAGCGCGCGCAGGUGGGAUCUUAAGUCCAUUUUUAAAGUUCGGAGCUCAACUCCGUGAUGGGAUGGAAACUGGGAUUCUUGAGUACCGGAGAGGAAAGCGGAAUUCCCCGUGUAGCGGUGAAAUGCGUAGAUAUGGGGAGGAACACCAGUGGCGAAGGCGGCUUUCUGGACGGUGUCUGACACUGAGGCGCGAAAGCCAGGGGAGCGAACGGGAUUAGAAACCCGAGUAGUCC